UACGGAGAGGAGACUUUAUCAUGAACGCACUAAUGAUCGAUUUUUAAAAAACUUUGAUAAUGACACAUCGGCUGAAGCAGACGAGAUAGAAACGAUGGGAAUACGAAAGAAACGGCUUGCAUUGUUGGAUCUUCUAAUAGCAGCAUCUCGAGAGGGUCUUUUGACUGAUUUAGAUAUUAGAGAGGAAGUCAAUACUUUUAUGUUUGCGGGUCAUGACACUACAGCGAUGGGUAUA